UUUUUUUAUAUGCACCCUGGUUCCUAUCUGCUCUCUUAAUUUCCUCGCCCUGCAUCUGCUGUGCUUCAUCCCGUCAGCCCAAGCAGAGGUGCGGACAGUCUACGGUGCUACGCUGUGUAGAGCUAGGGAAGGUGCAGGACGCACAGCGUGAUUUAGGGCCCGGCAUGCAGCCAUGGGAGGUACGAGAGCUGCCCUAACACCGGCGCAUGUAUGAGGAUGGCAGGGUGGCCAGCAAGUCCAACGGCCUUGCCAGCGGCACACCAACUCAUCGCUCUACUCCUCAGCGGGUGAGUCAUUAGCUAUUCAACACUGUAUGUCUCUCCAAUCUUAGUCCCCUUCCUGUUGGCCAUGGUCAGCGGUAUAAUUCCUCCUUUAUAUUUGUUGUCUUCACUGUUCUUCUCAGGUCUGUUUCUCGUGCUUGCUCUCUUCAUUUUUGUAGUCAAAUGAGAUGCAAAGAAUUG
rnacentral:lncRNA from 1 species